rnacentral:rRNA from 1 species
AGUCGAGCGAAUGGAUUAAGAGCUUGCUCUUAUGAAGUUAGCGGCGGACGGGUGAGUAACACGUGGGUAACCUGCCCAUAAGACUGGGAUAACUCCGGGAAACCGGGGCUAAUACCGGAUAACAUUUUGAACUGCAUGGUUCCGGAAAUUGAAAGGCGGCUUCGGCUGUCACUUAUGGAUGGACCCGCGUCGCAUUAGCUAGUUGGUGAGGUAACGGCUCACCAAGGCAACGAUGCGUAGCGACCUGAGAGGGUGAUCGGCCACACUGGGACUGAGACACGGCCCAGACUCCUACGGGAGGCAGCAGUAGGGAAUCUUCCGCAAUGGACGAAAGUCUGACGGAGCAACGCCGCGUGAGUGAUGAAGGCUUUCGGGUCGUAAAACUCUGUUGUUAGGGAAGAACAAGUGCUAGUUGAAUAAGCUGGCACCUUGACGGUACCUAACCAGAAAGCCACGGCUAACUACGUGCCAGCAGCCGCGGUAAUACGUAGGUGGCAAGCGUUAUCCGGAAUUAUUGGGCGUAAAGCGCGCGCAGGUGGUUUCUUAAGUCUGAUGUGAAAGCCCACGGCUCAACCGUGGAGGGGUCAUUUGGAAACUGGGGAGACUUGAGUGCAGAAGAGGAAAGUGGAAUUCCAUGUGUAGCGGUGAAAUGCGUAGAGAUAUGGAGGAACACCAGUGGCGAAGGCGACUUUCUGGUCUGUAACUGACACUGAGGCGCGAAAGUGGGGGAGCAAACAGGAUUAGAUACCCUGGUAGUCCACGCCGUAAACGAUGAGUGCUAAGUGUUAGAGGGUUUU